UCCUACGGGAGGCAGCAGUGGGGAAUAUUGGACAAUGGACCACAAGUCUGAUCCAGCAAUUCUGUGUGCACGAUGACGUUUUUCGGAAUGUAAAGUGCUUUCAGUCGGGAAGAAGUCAGUGACGGUACCGACAGAAGAAGCGACGGCUAAAUACGUGCCAGCAGCCGCGGUAAUACGUAUGUCGCAAGCGUUAUCCGGAUUUAUUGGGCGUAAAGCGCGUCUAGGCGGCAAGGAAAGUCUGAUGUGAAAAUGCGGAGCUCAACUCCGUAUGGCGUUGGAAACUGCCUUACUAGAGUACUGGAGAGGUAGGCGGAACUACAAGUGUAGAGGUGAAAUUCGCAGAUAUUUGUAGGAAUGCCGAUGGGGAAGCCAGCCUACUGGACAGAUACUGACGCUAAAGCGCGAAAGCGUGGGUAGCAAACAGGAUUAGAUACCCUGGUAGUCC
rnacentral:rRNA from 1 species